rnacentral:rRNA from 1 species
UACGUAGGGUGCGAGCGUUGUCCGGAAUUAUUGGGCGUAAAGAGCUUGUAGGCGGUUUGUCGCGUCUGCCGUGAAAGCCCAGGGCUUAACCCUGGGUCUGCGGUGGGUACGGGCAGACUAGAGUGUGGUAGGGGAGACUGGAAUUCCUGGUGUAGCGGUGAAAUGCGCAGAUAUCAGGAGGAACACCGAUGGCGAAGGCAGCUCUCUGGGUCCCUACCGACGCUGGGGUGCAAAAGCAUGGGGAGCGAACAGG